ACGGGGUGCAGCAGGCGCGAAAACUUUGCAAUAAGCGAAAGCUUGACAGGGCUAUCCCGAGUGCCAUCCGCUGAGGAAGGCUUUUACCCAGUCUAGUAAGCUGGGGGAAUAAGGAGAGGGCAAGUCUGGUGUCAGCCGCCGCGGUAAUACCAGCUCUCCGAGUGGUGUGGAUGUUUAUUGGGCCUAAAGCAUCCGUAGCUGGCUGAGUUAAUCCCCUGUUAAAUCCACCGAAUCAAUCGUUGGAUCGCGGGGGAUACUGCUCGGCUAGGGGACGGGAGAGGCAGACGGUAUUUCCGGGGUAAGGGUGAAAUCUUAUAAUCCCGGGAAGACCACCAGUGGCGAAGGCUGUCUGCUAGAACGCGCCCGACGGUGAGGGAUGAAAGCUGGGGUAGCGAACCGGAUUAGAUACCCGGGUAGUCCCAGCCGUAAACGAUGCAGGCUGGGUGUUUGGGCGGCCACGUGCCGCUCUAGUGCCGCAGGGAAGCUGUUAAGCCUGCCGCCUGGGGAGUACGAUCGCAAGAUUGAAACUUAAAGGAAUUGGCGGGGGAGCAC
rnacentral:rRNA from 1 species